rnacentral:rRNA from 1 species
AUGGCUCAGGACGAACGCUGGCGGCGUGCUUAACACAUGCAAGUCGAACGAUGAAGCCCUUCGGGGUGGAUUAGUGGCGAACGGGUGAGUAACACGUGGGCAAUCUGCCCUUCACUCUGGGACAAGCCCUGGAAACGGGGUCUAAUACCGGAUAAUACUUUCCCUCUCAUGGGGGAAGGUUAAAAGCUCCGGCGGUGAAGGAUGAGCCCGCGGCCUAUCAGCUAGUUGGUGGGGUAAUGGCCUACCAAGGCGACGACGGGUAGCCGGCCUGAGAGGGCGACCGGCCACACUGGGACUGAGACACGGCCCAGACUCCUACGGGAGGCAGCAGUGGGGAAUAUUGCACAAUGGGCGAAAGCCUGAUGCAGCGACGCCGCGUGAGGGAUGACGGCCUUCGGGUUGUAAACCUC